AGAGUUUGAUCCUGGCUCAGGAUAAACGCUGGCGGCGUGCCUAAUACAUGCAAGUCGAGCGAACGGACGAGAAGCUUGCUUCUCUGAUGUUAGCGGCGGACGGGUGAGUAACACGUGGAUAACCUACCUAUAAGACUGGGAUAACUUCGGGAAACCGGAGCUAAUACCGGAUAAUAUUUUGAACCGCAUGGUUCAAAAGUGAAAGACGGUCUUGCUGUCACUUAUAGAUGGAUCCGCGCUGCAUUAGCUAGUUGGUAAGGUAACGGCUUACCAAGGCAACGAUGCAUAGCCGACCUGAGAGGGUGAUCGGCCACACUGGAACUGAGACACGGUCCAGACUCCUACGGGAGGCAGCAGUAGGGAAUCUUCCGCAAUGGGCGAAAGCCUGAUGGAGCAACGCCGCGUGAGUGAUGAAGGUCUUCGGAUCGUAAAACUCUGUUAUUAGGGAAGAACAUAUGUGUAAGUAACUGUGCACAUCUUGACGGUACCUAAUCAGAAAGCCACGGCUAACUACGUGCCAGCAGCCGCGGUAAUACGUAGGUGGCAAGCGUUAUCCGGAAUUAUUGGGCGUAAAGCGCGCGUAGGCGGUUUUUUAAGUCUGAUGUGAAAGCCCACGGCUCAACCGUGGAGGGUCAUUGGAAACUGGAAAACUUGAGUGCAGAAGAGGAAAGUGGAAUUCCAUGUGUAGCGGUGAAAUGCGCAGAGAUAUGGAGGAACACCAGUGGCGAAGGCGACUUUCUGGUCUGUAACUGACGCUGAUGUGCGAAAGCGUGGGGAUCAAACAGGAUUAGAUACCCUGGUAGUCCACGCCGUAAACGAUGAGUGCUAAGUGUUAGGGGGUUUCCGCCCCUUAGUGCUGCAGCUAACGCAUUAAGCACUCCGCCUGGGGAGUACGACCGCAAGGUUGAAACUCAAAGGAAUUGACGGGGACCCGCACAAGCGGUGGAGCAUGUGGUUUAAUUCGAAGCAACGCGAAGAACCUUACCAAAUCUUGACAUCCUUUGACAACUCUAGAGAUAGAGCCUUCCCCUUCGGGGGACAAAGUGACAGGUGGUGCAUGGUUGUCGUCAGCUCGUGUCGUGAGAUGUUGGGUUAAGUCCCGCAACGAGCGCAACCCUUAAGCUUAGUUGCCAUCAUUAAGUUGGGCACUCUAAGUUGACUGCCGGUGACAAACCGGAGGAAGGUGGGGAUGACGUCAAAUCAUCAUGCCCCUUAUGAUUUGGGCUACACACGUGCUACAAUGGACAAUACAAAGGGCAGCGAAACCGCGAGGUCAAGCAAAUCCCAUAAAGUUGUUCUCAGUUCGGAUUGUAGUCUGCAACUCGACUACAUGAAGCUGGAAUCGCUAGUAAUCGUAGAUCAGCAUGCUACGGUGAAUACGUUCCCGGGUCUUGUACACACCGCCCGUCACACCACGAGAGUUUGUAACACCCGAAGCCGGUGGAGUAACCUUUUAGGAGCUAGCCGUCGAAGGUGGGACAAAUGAUUGGGGUGAAGUCGUAACAAGGUAGCCGUAUCGGAAGGUGCGGCUGGAUCACCU
rnacentral:rRNA from 1 species